UUGAUUGUAAUGUUCUCAUUCAGACGACAUACGGGUUUCUGCAUAAAAGCGGCCACCCCAAAGGGAGGCCGAAGCACGAUAUUUGCUUCCACAUGUUUUAAGGGUAGAAGGUCAAAGACCAUUCAAUAAUGAUCCCUCCGCAGGUUCACCUACGGAGA
rnacentral:misc_RNA from 1 species